rnacentral:rRNA from 1 species
GACGACGCUGGCGGCGUGCCUAAUGCAUGCAAGUCGAGCGGGCUACAGUCUUCGGGAUUGUAGCUUAGCGGCGAACGGGUGAGUAACACGUAGGUAAUCUACCCUUCAGAGGAGGACAACCUCAGGAAACUGAGGCUAAACCUUCAUACGUUCACUGGUAGGGAUACUGGUGAAGAAAGAGUUACCUUAGUGGUAGCUGCUGAAGGAUGAGCCUGCGGCCCAUCAGGUAGUUGGUGAGGUAACGGCUCACCAAGCCGAAGACGGGUAACCGGUCUGAGAGGAUGUCCGGUCACACUGGGACUGAGACACGGCCCAGACUCCUACGGGAGGCAGCAGCAGGGAAUCUUGGGCAAUGGGCGAAAGCCUGACCCAGCGACGCCGCGUGGAGGAAGAAGUCCUUCGGGGCGUAAACUCCUGGACUGGGGGACGAGGAAGGACGGUACCCCAGUAGAAAGGGACGGCUAACUACGUG